rnacentral:rRNA from 3 species
AAAUUGAAGAGUUUGAUCAUGGCUCAGAUUGAACGCUGGCGGCAGGCCUAACACAUGCAAGUCGAACGGUAACAGGAAGCAGCUUGCUGCUUUGCUGACGAGUGGCGGACGGGUGAGUAAUGUCUGGGAAACUGCCUGAUGGAGGGGGAUAACUACUGGAAACGGUGGCUAAUACCGCAUAACGUCGCAAGACCAAAGAGGGGGACCUUCGGGCCUCUUGCCAUCAGAUGUGCCCAGAUGGGAUUAGCUAGUUGGUGAGGUAACGGCUCACCAAGGCGACGAUCCCUAGCUGGUCUGAGAGGAUGACCAGCCACACUGGAACUGAGACACGGUCCAGACUCCUACGGGAGGCAGCAGUGGGGAAUAUUGCACAAUGGGCG